CUCAAUUUCAUGAAUAGAGAGUUAACUCGUUCAAGGCAGUGAAGUAUUGGAUAAGAUCAAUGACAUGGUUGUGAAUAAAGUAAAUCUCAAGUAAUUGAUCAUUAAGCAUUCAAAACUUGUCAAUCUAAUUUAACAUGAUUAAGCUAUUCAGGUAUAAUCCACUUUGCUCGCUUGGAAGGGAUUUUUUUGGAUAAGGUGACCUUCAGUCGAAAGGCACAUGUCUUUUCUUUUUGCUUCGCUCAUUAUAUUUCGCGAUAGAUCACGAAGUUUUAAAUAUUGUGUCUGCUUGUGACUUUAUUUACUUUUGGCAAAAUUGUCAAUAACUUCCCUGUGGUUUUGAAAUUCAACGUAAAUUCCCCGUUACUUUAAAAAUUGCAUGGCGCCACCUUAUACUUUUAAAAAUAUUGCAUGAAAACCCUUUUUAUAUUUUUGUGUGAAAGAAGAUUUCCUAUCUAUAAAAUUUACACGGUGGGGGGUUUCAUGCAAUAUUUUUAAAUGUAUAAGGUGGAACAAUGCAAUUUUUAAAGUAUAAGAGAAUUUACGAUAAGUUUUGAAACCACAUGAGAGUUAUGAGCAAUUUUGCCUUUAACUUGUUAUCCCAACUAUAGGCCUUUUCAGUCCUUUUAAUAAUAAUUCCUCCCCACCUUUCUUACAUCGCUUCUCAAACAAUAUUUAAAGACUUCUUACUUCAAUGUCAUCUUAUAUAAACUAAGUCGAUAGAAAAAAAUUUGUUUGCCCUACUAAGUAUGGAAUAAUUGAAACGAAAGAGGCACUAACCUUUUCAAGUCAUACCAAUAGUUACUUGGUUUAACUCAAUAUUCACAUUAUUGACAAAGUUAAAGAAAAAAUUAUUAAGUUCAACGCUUGCAAGUAAUCUAACUUUACUCUAAAAUAUAUCAAAAGCCUAGCUCAACAAUAUAUUAAAAGAAUUUAGAGUAAUUACACAUGCUUGUAAUUAUAAUAGGCAUCAGUAUUGAUAAAUUCAACUUGUUACCAAAAUUGGUCGUGUCAUUGAUCAUAAAAAAAAAUUGUACAUGCCCGUCAUUCUUUAACAAAAAUUGCUAGUAGCUGGGGAAAGGACUCUCGCAGGCCAUCUUUACAUUAAUCAUCUGAGAGCCCUCUUUCUAGCUUUCCAUAGCCAUCUAGGACACGCUGCAACUUCUCAUGAACCUUCUUCUGAUGCUUGACCAUACCCAAGUUUUGCUCAUCCAAAAAAAUAGCAUUUUGGCUGGUCAGCGCUGCAUUACUCCUGAGUAGCUCAUUCUGACCUUGCAUUACGCUUUCCAGCAUUUGCCCCAUUGCUGCAGCUUUAGCUUUAGCUUCUAACUUGGUCACUCUAGCGUAUGUGGAAGCAGCAAUAUGCAGGAUCUGAGCGGUGCUAGCUUCCAUUGCAGUAUUCUUUGAUUUCCCUUUGCUAAGGGCCAAUCAAUUCUUUAACACCUUUUUAGUCAUAAAUUGAUUGAAUGCGAACUCGCUGGUCAGCAUCUCAGGCAUUUGAUCCAGUCUUUCCUCAAGAGAUUUGAAUGCUGCUUGAGGUUCAGAAGUGCUUGCCUUAGCAGCCUCUGGUGAUUGUCGAUGAGAGUUGGAUGAACCGCUGUCCACUGGUUAUUCGUGUUAUUUUUUCUUUGGCUCAGGUAAUAGUUCCAGGGUGGCUUCCUUCAGCACUAUCAUUUGGUGCUCUGCUUCAUACUCCUUAUGUUCCCUCUCCACUUUCACAGUUUGGAAAUAUCCGCUUGAAUCACCGUUGGAGUUGAGUCAAUGGCUUCCACCAUUUCAACAAUUUAACCAAAACCUUCAUUGCCUUCCACUUUCUUCGGUCGUGCUGCUAUUCCUUCUCCAAUCUCUCUACUUCAGCGAGCAUCCAAGCUUUCUUUUCAUUAAUUUCCCUUUCCCCCUCAUCAUCCUCAUCUUCAAUUAUUCUUCAGUCAGAUUUCGCUGAGGGCGGAGUUAAGGUAUUCGCCGGUUACACUUCCUUAGGAGUUUGGGGGUUGUACCUGAUUGUCUCUUCUUCGCUUGCCCCCAGGAUUGUUUUCUCUGCAGCUCUUGGCGACACCUGCAUUAUGGGUAACGUUGUUAUCACUGCUUCAACUUUGGUGGUUUCAUUGACAGGUUCAGUGGUGGUAGCAUUGGGGAUCUCAAUGGCUUAGACUUUGAAAGUCUAAACGGUCACGUCGAUGCCAUUGAUAUUUUCGUCAGUCAAAAUAGUCUUCCGAUCCUUUGGUCCAGCAGCAGCUGGCUCGCCCAUCCCCCACUGGUUAAAAAGAAUGAAUCAUCGCCUAUUGGACUUAUUUGGCGCAACGGAGUAGUGUCCUUCGGCUAGCUAGUUGGGAUAUUUGCUUGGGUGAUCUCUCAACUUGGGCAGAGGGUUCUCUUAUGGAGAUCCCAUUUCCUAGGCGGUACAGUGGGAUCUCAUCAUCCUUGUUUUUCUUCAACGCUUUACCCUUCCUUUUCUCCUUUCUCGUGAGCCUGGCGGCCAUCAUCUUCACCCUCAGCUUCUUAGUUGUUGGCUCCGGAGUGAAAUCAUCCACUAGCUUUGACCUUUUUUCUCUCUUCUCUCCAUCGGCUGCUUUCUCCUUUUCCGCUUCUUUUCUUCCUUUAUCACUUAUGGUCACUCAUUUCCCCUGGCCAUUUUCUUUCUUUCCUCCGUUUCCCGAGCCUAGCUCACAGUAGCCUCCUCCUUAUUGGCUUCCGAAGCUUCAUCAGACAUAAUUGUCUCUGAGUGUGGGCCAGCGAUGGCCUUGUCUAGUUUUUCUUCCGGUGAGCGGACCAACUCCUCCCCCACAACUUUUAUAUUUUUCUUUGGAGGCUAGACAAAGACGGUCACCUUCUUCUUCCUCUUCUUCUAAUUUGGGAUUGGGCUGAACCCCUUGUCCUCCAACUAUUUUUAUGAAACACAACUGGUUGUUGUGGUUCCAUUGUAAGUUCAGCGGUUGGAGCAGGCAGAUCCGUACCUGCUUUUCUACACAACUUAGUAAUCAAGGUCCCAUGACCUAAUGUUCGAUCAAUCUUUGAGCGGGCCCAUAUGUUCAUGCAGAUGAUGGCUCUCAAAUCAAUGUCAGCCUUUUUCUCCAAAACUGAGUGCAACACCACUAGGAAUUCGGGCUUGAUAUCGAAUGUGUGAGAAGUAAUCAUUUUUUGCUCAACGAUCAUUUCACCAAUUCCUUAUUAUCAUUGUCUACCGAUGCCAUCUUCAAAUUUCUUUUUUCACACAUGGGAGUGGUGGCAAAUGUGGUGUACACGACUGCAGCUCCAUCGAGUUGAACUUCUCAACUGCUUCCAACUUGGUCUUCAUUCCCCCAUCACAUAGUGGAACAACCAUUCGAGAACUCGAUUGAUUUUCCUUGCAGAACAAUCUAUCCAUGUCCCUUAGACAUAAACAUUAUUGGGGUUUUCUACUUGCUCGAGGUUUCCGUAAAAUUCCCUCAUCAGCGAGACAUCCACUAAUUCAUUGAGAUUUUGAAUCACCAAAGACAGGCCUCUUUUUUCAAUCCAAUCCUUGAGUUGGCCUUGAAUUGUCUCGGCAGCGAACCCUAUCUCAUACACUAUCUUCAUACCCUUCGUCCGCUCAUAGUUGUCCGUUACUUUCUAGUUGACCAAGUGAAACUUGUUGCAGUCUGGGUUAGAUUCAAUAGUAGCGGUAGCUUCUGCAGUAACUUUCUUGGUUGAAAGUGUGUGCUCUAUAAAUAAGGAAAGGCUCAUAUGGGGCAGUUUACAAAGCUCGGGAUAGAAGGACCUCAGAAUUAGUUGCUAUCAAAGUGAUCUCCUUAUCUGAAGGGGAAGAGGUAUAUGAAGAAAUUCGUGGUGAAAUUGAGAUGUUGCAGCAAUGUAGUCAUCCUAAUGUUGUUCGCUAUCUUGGGAGCUACCAAGGAGAAGAAUUUCUCUGGAUAGUAAUGGAGUACUGUGGAGGUGGAAGUGUCGCUGACUUGAUUAAUGUCACUGAUGAGCCUCUUGAGGAGUAUCAAAUAGCAUAUAUAUGCAGAGAAGCAUUGAAGGGUCUGUCGUAUCUGCAUUCAAUUUUCAAAGUACAUAGAGAUAUUAAAGGUGGUAAUAUUUUGUUGACUGAGCAAGGAGAAGUUAAAUUGGGUAAGUCAUAUUAUGAUGAUUCUGUGACAGUUGCAUUCACCACAUUGUCCUAAAAUUUUGCACCAGAGGGGUCAGAGGCACUUUGCCUGUUGGUUUGACCAUGAGAGUCAGUUAGGAAGGAUAUGUUGAAUUCAUAAUUGAUUUCCUGCAAUAUUGAUUUGAUAUUCAUACAAUCGCCUCUAAGAGCCAAAAACAACUACAAGUGAUUUUAGAGUUGCUGCACAGUUGACGAGAACUAUGUCCUAGCGUAACACGUUCAUUGGAACCCCACAUUGGAUGGCUCCUGAAGUUAUUCAAGAAAGUCGUUAUGAUGGAAAGGUAGAUGUGUGGGCUCUUGGAGUGUCUGCAAUUGAAAUGACAGAGGGAGUUCCUCCGAGAGCAACUGUUCAUCCUAUGAGAGUAAGUAUCAUUUUGUCUUUAUCUCACUUGUUUCUUACACUAGUUUGUGCUUCUAUCUGCAUAUCUUGUCAUAGUAAUCUAUGCAAAGACUCCAUUGAUGCAUAUCUUGUGUCAAAGUGAAUCAGUAUGGUCUAAUUCUGAGUUAUUAAUGUGUUUGUGGAGUCCUGGUUGUUUCCAUGAUCAGCCAUUGUUUGCCUAAACCUUUGUUAUUAUUUUUUUGGGUAUGUGUGUGAUGAAAUAUACACACUGAGAACCCUGCCAAGAUGUGGAAUGCUUCUGAGUUUUGAGAAAUGAAAAUCCAUUUAC